GGAGCAAGUGAUUUAAUUCAACAAAAAGCUAAUAACUUUAUCGGGGCUUGAUAUGCUGCACAUUCUUUUAAAAGAAGGGUGCCGACCACGUGUAUAAUUGGUUCGUUGCUAUUGUCAACUUGUGUAAUGAGGUAUUAGGUAAGUUUUGUAACGAGCACAACCUACUAUUUAGUUGUCAUCAAUAAGCUUGGAACCCUAAGUGAGAUGUUGUGAUUAGCUUAAUGAAUAUAAGGAUGACAUCUGAGUGAUCAUAUCUUUUAUGUCCUUGGCAACAUACAUACAAUGGUAAGGACAAAGGACCAAAAAUUUGGGAGAUCAAGCUAAUCCUAUUGACCAAUCAUCAAUUUGGAUUGUAGGCUACCUUAAGACUUAAAUGUCA
rnacentral:rRNA from 1 species